ACAGGGAUUGCCCUAGUAACGGCGAGUGAAGCGGCAACAGCUCAAAUUUGAAAUCUGGCUCUUUCAGAGUCCGAGUUGUAAUUUGCAGAGGGCGCUUUGGCUUUGGCAGCGGUCCAAGUUCCUUGGAACAGGACGUCACAGAGGGUGAGAAUCCCGUACGUGGUCGCUAGCUAUUGCCGUGUAAAGCCCCUUCGACGAGUCGAGUUGUUUGGGAAUGCAGCUCUAAAUGGGAGGUAAAUUUCUUCUAAAGCUAAAUAUUGGCCAGAGACCGAUAGCGCACAAGUAGAGUGAUCGAAAGAUGAAAAGCACUUUGGAAAGAGAGUCAAACAGCACGUGAAAUUGUUGAAAGGGAAGCGCUUGCAGCCAGACUUGCUUGCAGUUGCUCAUCCGGGCUUUUGCCCGGUGCACUCUUCUGCAGGCAGGCCAGCAUCAGUUUGGGCGGUGGGAUAAAGGUCUCUGACACGUUCCUUCCUUCGGGUUGGCCAUAUAGGGGAGACGUCAUACCACCAGCCUGGACUGAGGUCCGCGCAUCUGCUAGGAUGCUGGCGUAAUGGCUGUAAGCGGCCCGUCUUGAAACACGGACCAAGGAGUCUAACAUCUAUGCGAGUGUUUGGGUGUCAAGCCCGAGCGCGUAAUGAAAGUGAACGGAGGUGGGAACCCGCAAGGGCGCACCAUCGACCGAUCCUGAAGUUUACGGAAGGAUUUGAGUAAGAGCAUGGCUGUUGGGACCCGAAAGAUGGUGAACUAUGCUUGAAUAGGGUGAAGCCAGAGGAAACUCUGGUGGAGGCUCGCAGCGGUUCUGACGUGCAAAUCGAUCGUCAAAUUUGGGCAUAGGGCGAAAGACUAAUCGAACUAUCUAGUAGCUGGGUUCCUGC
rnacentral:rRNA from 1 species